rnacentral:rRNA from 2 species
CUGAUGAGAAGCUUGCUUCUUAAGAUGUUAGCGGCGGACGGGUGAGUAACACGUGGGCAACCUGCCCUAUAGUUGGGGAUAACUCCGGGAAACCGGGGCUAAUACCGAAUGAUUCAUUUCAUCUCCUGAUGAAAUGCUGAAAGAUGGUUCUGCUAUCGCUAUAGGAUGGGCCCGCGGCGCAUUAGCUAGUUGGUGAGGUAACGGCUCACCAAGGCGACGAUGCGUAGCCGACCUGAGAGGGUGAUCGGCCACACUGGGACUGAGACACGGCCCAGACUCCUACGGGAGGCAGCAGUAGGGAAUCUUCCACAAUGGGCGAAAGCCUGAUGGAGCAACGCCGCGUGAGUGAAGAAGGUUUUCGGAUCGUAAAACUCUGUUGUAAGGGAAGAACAAGUACAGUAGUAACUGGCUGUACCUUGACGGUACCUUAUUAGAAAGCCACGGCUAACUACGUGCCAGCAGCCGCGGUAAUACGUAGGUGGCAAGCGUUGUCCGGAAUUAUUGGGCGUAAAGCGCGCGCAGGCGGUCCUUUAAGUCUGAUGUGAAAGCCCACGGCUCAACCGUGGAGGGUCAUUGGAAACUGGAGGACUUGAGUGCAGAAGAGGAAAGUGGAAUUCCAAGUGUAGCGGUGAAAUGCGUAGAGAUUUGGA